AUUGAACGCUGGCGGCAUGCCUUACACAUGCAAGUCGAACGGUAACGCGGGGCAACCUGGCGACGAGUGGCGAACGGGUGAGUAAAGUAUCGGAACAUGCCCAAUAGUGGGGGAUAGCCCGGCGAAAGCCGGAUUAAUACCGCAUGAGACCUGAGGGUGAAAGCGGGGGACUCGCAAGAGCCUCGCGCUGUUGGAGCGGCCGAUAUCAGAUUAGGUAGUUGGUGGGGUAAAGGCCUACCAAGCCGACGAUCUGUAGCUGGUCUGAGAGGACGACCAGCCACACUGGGACUGAGACACGGCCCAGACUCCUACGGGAGGCAGCAGUGGGGAAUUUUGGACAAUGGGCGCAAGCCUGAUCCAGCCAUGCCGCGUGC
rnacentral:rRNA from 1 species